UUCCAAACAAUGUUGACAUGGGAACUACGUGUGGUAAAUACUUCCAAGUCUGCUGGUUGAGUAUCAUCGACCCUGGCGAUUCCGACAUCAUCAACGCAACACCAGCUGUACAAAAUAACUAAAAAUUCCCAGACUGUACCCUAUUCAAACUAUGCUACAUAUCAGCACAUGCUAAUUGUUAAUGUGCAUGCUCAACCAGAAAUCAGAAUUGCCUUUGUAAGAUGUUGUUUGUCAGUCGUCUAACAGCAACUUGGUUCUGAUUAUCUUCUUAGUGAUGUUGUCUUGUUCUGCUUCUGAAGUAGUACUGCUUUAUCCAAGCCUGGAUCUCCUAUA